rnacentral:rRNA from 1 species
UAGGGAAUCUUCGGCAAUGGACGAAAGUCUGACCGAGCAACGCCGCGUGAGUGAAGAAGGUUUUCGGAUCGUAAAACUCUGUUGUUAGAGAAGAACAAGGACGUUAGUAACUGAACGUCCCCUGACGGUAUCUAACCAGAAAGCCACGGCUAACUACGUGCCAGCAGCCGCGGUAAUACGUAGGUGGCAAGCGUUGUCCGGAUUUAUUGGGCGUAAAGCGAGCGCAGGCGGUUUCUUAAGUCUGAUGUGAAAGCCCCCGGCUCAACCGGGGAGGGUCAUUGGAAACUGGGAGACUUGAGUGCAGAAGAGGAGAGUGGAAUUCCAUGUGUAGCGGUGAAAUGCGUAAAUAUAUGGAGGAACACCAGUGGCGAAGGCGGCUCUCUGGUCUGUAACUAACGCUGAGGCUCGAAAGCGUGGGGAGCAAACAGG